UACGUAGGGUGCGAGCGUUUAAUCGGAAUUACUGGGCGUAAAGCGUGCGCAGGCGGUGAUGUAAGACCGAUGUGAAAUCCCCGGGCUUAACCUGGGAACUGCAUUGGUGACUGCAUUGCUGGAGUAUGGCAGAGGGGGGGUGGAAUUCCACGUGUAGCAGUGAAAUGCGUAGAGAUGUGGAGGAACACCGAUGGCGAAGGCAGCCCCCCUGGGCCAAUACUGACGCUCAUGCACGAAAGCGUGGGGAGCAACAGG
rnacentral:rRNA from 1 species